UGAUUUUAUGCAUCACAAUGUUUUAACAUAACAAAAUAAUGCAAGAUAAAUAGCAUUUCUGCUGUGACUUAAACAUCACCAUAUAAGAAGCUUGAAUAAUGAAUACAACUUAAAAUAAUGGGCGAAAAUGUUAUCGAGUUUUUUCAACUUCUUUUCUUGUUAGCUACUCAAGAAAUUGAUCCCUUUAUACACAUGUCUACUACAAUGGUGUGAGUGUGUUGUGUUGUUUGUGAUGUGUCUAACACACUCACCACAUUGAAGUUCUUGAACAGAAACCUCAGCGUCUGUCACCAAAAUAUAAAAUUUUCGACAAAGAUCCAAGGAACUAACUAGGUAAAUCAUUAGCAGCAAGAAUAUACACUAAUUUUCUUAUUUUGUUUCUGUUUCUUUAGGUUUGUAAACUUCUUCCAAACACUCUUUAGCUC
rnacentral:lncRNA from 1 species